rnacentral:rRNA from 1 species
GAUGAACGCUGGCGGCGUGCCUAACACAUGCAAGUCGAGCGGCAGCGCGGGGUGCUUGCACCCUGUCGGCGAGCGGCGGACGGCUGAGUAACGCGUGGGAACGUGCCCCAAAGUGAGGAAUAACUGCCCGAAAGGGUAGCUAAUACCGCAUAUUAUCUUCGGAUCAAAGGAUUUAUCCGCUUUGGGAGCGGCUCGCGUCGGAUUAGGUAGUUGGUGAGGUAAUGGCUCACCAAGCCGACGACCCGUAGCUGGUCGGGGAGGAUGACCAGCCAGACUGGAACUGAGACACGGGCCAGACUCCUACGGAAGGCAGCAGUGAGGAAUCAUCCACAAUGGGCGAAAGCCUGAUGGAGCAACGCCGCGUGCAAGACGAAGGCCUUCGGGUUGUAAACUGCUUUUAUAAGUGAGGAAUAUGAGGGUAACUAAUGAAUAAGGAUCGGCUAACUACGUG